GGGGAAUAUUGCACAAUGGGGGAAACCCUGAUGCAGCGACGCCGCGUGGAGGAAGAAGGUCUUCGGAUUGUAAACUCCUGUUGUUGGGGAAGAUAAUGACGGUACCCAACAAGGAAGUGACGGCUAACUACGUGCCAGCAGCCGCGGUAAAACGUAGGUCACAAGCGUUGUCCGGAAUUACUGGGUGUAAAGGGAGCGCAGGCGGGAAGACAAGUUGGAAGUGAAAUCUAUGGGCUCAACCCAUAAACUGCUUUCAAAACUGUUUUUCUUGAGUAGUGCAGAGGUAGGCGGAAUUCCCGGUGUAGCGGUGGAAUGCGUAGAUAUCGGGAGGAACACCAGUGGCGAAGGCGGCCUACUGGGCACCAACUGACGCUGAGGCUCGAAAGUGUGGGUAGCAAACAGGAUUAGAUACCCUGGUAGUCCACACCGUAAACGAUGAUUACUAGGUGUUGGAGGAU
rnacentral:rRNA from 1 species